rnacentral:sRNA from 1 species
AUAAAAAGUUUAAUCUAUCAAAAAUAAUUAACAUCAUUAUAUAAUAUAUAGAGUUUUAAAAAAUCUCAAAACAAAUUUCGUCAUAUUUUAUGAUUCGAAAUUUUAAGAAUGAACAUAUAUUAACCAAUUGGCAAAAAAUGUGUGGGUUCAACGUCCCGCAACGACUAAAAUAUUUUGACAAUGAUUCAUAAACAUAUUAUAAAUAACAUCAAUAUUAAUAAAAUAAACAGUUUUUUUUUGUGGACGGGUUUGGCAGGACGUUACUUAGUAACAAUGGUAAACUAUAAAAUAAUUUAUAUAUUUUUAUAUAUAUUAAUUUUAGAAAAUGAAUUGUCUUCGCGGUGUACCAAUGGUUAAAAUCUAGUGGAGUAUUAAAAUCAAAACAACUAACUUCUUUAGACUUAUGGUGGCCAACAAAGCAACAACGGGAAAGUGGUCUCCUUUCAACUUUUUCUUUCUCCCCCAUUUUCAUGAAA